rnacentral:rRNA from 1 species
CGUAGGGUGAACCUGCGGAGGGAUCAUUACCGAGUUUACAACUCCCAAACCCAAUGUGAACGUUACCAAACUGUUGCCUCGGCGGGAUCUCUGCCCCGGGUGCGUCGCAGCCCCGGACCAAGGCGCCCGCCGGAGGACCAACCAAAACUCUUAUUGUAUACCCCCUCGCGGGUUUUUUACUAUCUGAGCCAUCUCGGCGCCCCUCGUGGGCGUUUCGAAAAUGAAUCAAAACUUUCAACAACGGAUCUCUUGGUUCUGGCAUCGAUGAAGAACGCAGCGAAAUGCGAUAAGUAAUGUGAAUUGCAGAAUUCAGUGAAUCAUCGAAUCUUUGAACGCACAUUGCGCCCGCCAGUAUUCUGGCGGGCAUGCCUGUCCGAGCGUCAUUUCAACCCUCGAACCCCUCCGGGGGGUCGGCGUUGGGGAUCGGCCCUUUACGGGGCCGGCCCCGAAAUACAGUGGCGGUCUCGCCGCAGCCUCUCCUGCGCAGUAGUUUGCACACUCGCAUCGGGAGCGCGGCGCGUCCACAGCCGUUAAACACCCCAAACUUCUGAAAUGUUGACCUCGGAUCAGGUAGGAAUACCCGCUGAACUUAAGCAUA